UGGGGAAUAUUGCACAAUGGGCGCAAGCCUGAUGCAGCCAUGCCGCGUGUAUGAAGAAGGUCUUCGGGUUGUAAAGUACUUUCAGCGGGGAGGAAGGGAGUAAAGUUAAUACCUUUGCUCAUUGACGUUACCCGCAGAAGAAGCACCGGCUAACUCCGUGCCAGCAGCCGCGGUAAUACGGAGGGUGCAAGCGUUAAUCGGAAUUACUGGGCGUAAAGCGCACGCAGGCGGUUUGUUAAGUCAGAUGUGAAAUCCCCGGGCUCAACCUGGGAACUGCAUCUGAUACUGGCAAGCUUGAGUCUCGUAGAGGGGGGUAGAAUUCCAGGUGGAGCGGUGAAAUGCGUAGAGAUCUGGAGGAAUACCGGUGGCGAAGGCGGCCCCCUGGACAAAGACUGACGCUCAGGUGCGAAAGCGUGGGGAGCAAACAGG
rnacentral:rRNA from 1 species